GAAAUGCGAUAAGUAGUGUGAAUUGCAGAAUUUAGCGAAUCAUCGAAUCUUUGAACGCACAUUGCGCCCCUUGGUAUUCCAUGGGGCAUGCCUGUUCGAGCGUCAUUUCAACCCUCAAGCACUGCUUGGUGUUGGGCGUUUGUCCCGCCUACGCGCGUGGACUCGCCUCAAAGUCAUUGGCAGCUGUUCCCCUUCGGCUCGUAAGCGCAGCACAGUCGGCGCCCGGAGCUCUGGUGGGAUGGCGUCCAGCAAGCUAUAUUUUCAGGCUUGACCUCGGAUCAGGUAGGGAUACCCGCUGAACUUAGGC
rnacentral:misc_RNA from 1 species